GUCCUUGUAGCUCAUUUGGAUAGAGCGGCUCCCUUCUAAGGAGUAGGUAGCAGGUUCGAAUCCUGCCAAGGACA
rnacentral:tRNA from 1 species